UCUGUCAGGAAUCCCCCUGCCACGCCCACUUCGGCCCCCUUCAGCGUGUCAGGUGCUUUCUCGGCCGCUUUCUCUGAAGCUCCAGGCUUCAAUCGCGCACAAAGUCACCCUUAUUUUCGGCCUUCAUCUGUUUUUGAACAAAAUAGCGUUUGUAUAAAACCUUUAGUUCCACAGGUUCAGCCCUAUUUUGUUCUCAACCUUCGUGCGUGAACAAUCAUUAUUGUAGCCGGUUUACCUUCCUGCAUCUGCAAUGGCUUCAUCUCACAGACGUUCUGGAACAGCUAUGAGGAGCAUUCUCCGCAGACUGUUUCAUCAGUUUCAACUCUUCUCCCUAGAAACUGAAAUUGCCCAAUUUAUCGAACAUCUCUCUACCUCAACUGUUCCAGAGAAUGCCUUUCUGCCUCCUCGCAUUGUAAAGCCUGCCUUUACACGUGAUAUAGGCACACAGACCCCACCUGACUUCCCUGCUGUUUAUCAUUAGGACACACAGACCGAGACUGGUCUUGAUUGCUUUUUUAUGUCUCCUUAAACUUACAAGGCAGCCUCCAAGCUCUUUUUUCCCAAAUAAACUUGCUUAAGUCUGCCCAA